ACACCUCAACUCCCAUGGCUUGCCAUGGUGAGCUUGGACUUUGGGGGUUUUGCUGGCCUAUGGUCGGCUCCUCUCAAAUGAAUCAGCCUACCAGUGUUUGGUGGCGUCACGAGUGUGAUAACUAUCUACGCUUGCGAUUGCCCACCAGGUAACCUUCAGCGAUGGAGGUUCGCUGGGGCUCAUAGACGUCUCUCCUCGGCGAGGACAGCUUUGAAC
rnacentral:misc_RNA from 1 species